CAGAAUCUUAAUUGGGGAAAACUGGGGGCUCUAGACAUCGGACAUAAAGGAAAGAAGCAUAGGGAUGGGAUCAAAAGAGAAUUAUACCAUGUUUGAAAAGAGGCUGAGAUAGGGAAAGAGGAAUGCAGAAACCAAGGUUCUGUUUGGGGGAAAACCUGGGGCCUUGGAAUGUAGACUGGAACAGUGGAACCCAACGUGGAGAAUCAGCCAGGUGCAUGGACACAACCUCAGAUCACGAGCCACCUCCUGGUGGUUGUUCAGGUGCAUCCUUAUGCACUGAGGAAUAGGAACCCGGCAAGAAUGUAGGAUGGGACCCACUAAGCAUCCUGGGCUCAGCUUAUCUUCAGUGCAUCGUAAAAACCUGAUCAUGUCACAGUCCACCUCAGUGGACUCAUUUGCUCUUGGCAUCAAAGUGAGAUACUAGCCUCUGGUCCAGAGUAGUUGAAGGUUUCCUGGUGCUAAGUUGCACUUCAAUAAGGAGAAAGGCAGCACAUCUGCAGCAAAAAGCUGAGGAGGAGAUACAGCACAUGGAAUUUAAGCAUCAUGCCCGAGGUCAUGGACACUGAGUGGUGGAACCAGAAUGUGGAUCUCUCAAACUCCUGACUUUCUAAAUGUUCAGUAAAUGGCAGCAAUAAUCAUUAUUA